CGGAGGCAGCAGUGGGGAAUAUUGCACAAUGGGGGAAACCCUGAUGCAGCCAUGCCGCGUGUGUGAAGAAGGCCUUCGGGUUGUAAAGCACUUUCAGCGAGGAGGAAAGGGUGGAAGCUAAUACCUUUCAUCUGUGACGUUACUCGCAGAAGAAGCACCGGCUAACUCCGUGCCAGCAGCCGCGGUAAUACGGAGGGUGCAAGCGUUAAUCGGAAUUACUGGGCGUAAAGCGCACGCAGGCGGUUAUAUAAGUCAGAUGUGAAAGCCCCGGGCUCAACCUGGGAACUGCAUUUGAAACUGUGUAACUAGAGUCUUGUAGAGGGGGGUAGAAUUCCAGGUGUAGCGGUGAAAUGCGUAGAGAUCUGGAGGAAUACCGGUGGCGAAGGCGGCCCCCUGGACAAAGACUGACGCUCAGGUGCGAAAGCGUGGGGAGCAAACAGGAUUAGAUACCCGGGUAGUCCG
rnacentral:rRNA from 1 species